CAGUAAUGUUAUUCUGCAAGAAAGCGUCUGACUUCUCUUUUCUUGGGGUGGAAUAUUUUCACUGAAUUUGAAUGAGUCAAGAAAAUUCUUAGUUCUCAAAUGUUAUCAAUACCCUGUUUUUAAGCAUGGAUCUUCAGUAUCCAUACUCCUAAGAGUAAAUAUUUUAAAGUGUGUAGUAAAGCCUCAUGUCAGAAAGUGGAUGUUUUUCUUCUCUGUAGCACGUGCAUGUCAGUAUUGUAGAAGCAACUUGUACGUCUGCACUUGGCAACGCGAAGGUCAGGACAGAAACAGCAAGCAGGAUGCAUGCAGAAUAAAAUGAGAAUAGUUCAGUGAAGAGGAAUCAUCUGACUAAUUCCCACUGAGCCUUGCAAGUCCAACGGUUUCUUUAUUGUAUAAAGCAACCUCACUGAUGUGCCCAAGCAGGCUGUUGCUAGAGCAGGAUCAGCAGAGAGCAUGG
ensembl:lncRNA